GCUGGCGGUGGGUGAGUAACACGUAAGAAUUUGCCUUUAGGAGGGGGGACAAAAAACUGGAAACGGUUGCUAAUACCCCCAUUAUGCUUUCGAGUGAAAGGGUUUUUCCGCCUAGAGAAGAAGCUUGCGGGCUGAUUAGCUUGUUUGGUAAGGUAAUGGCUUACCAAGGCCGACGAUCAGUGGUCUUGGUUUGAGAAGGACGAUCAGACACACUGGAACUGGGACACCGGUCCAGACUCCUACGGGGGGCAGCAGUGGGGAAUUUUCCGCAAUGGGCGAAAGCCUGACGGAGCAAUACCGCGUGAGGGAUGAAUGCCUAUGGGUUGUAAACCUCUUUUUUCAGGGAGGAACAAAAUGACGUGUACCUGAAGAAUAAGCAUCGGCUAACUCCGUGCCAGCAGCCGCGGUAAGACGGAGGAUGCAAGUGUUAUCCGGAAUCACUGGGCGUAAAGCGUCUGUAGGUGGUUUAAUAAGUCAACUGUUAAAUCUCGAGGCUCAACUUCGAAACCGCAGUCGAAACUAUUAGACUAGAGUAUAGUAGGGGUAAAGGGAAUUUCCAGUGGAGCGGUGAAAUGCGUAGAGAUUGGAAUGAACACCGAUGGCGAAGGCACUUUACUGGGCUAUUACUAACACUGAGAGACGAAAGCUAGGGUAGCGGGUGGGUUUAGAUACCCCUGUACUCCUUCCCGUA
rnacentral:rRNA from 1 species